rnacentral:misc_RNA from 1 species
AAGUCGUAACAAGGUCUCCGUUGGUGAACCAGCGGAGGGAUCAUUACCGAGUUUACAACUCCCAAACCCAUGUGAACAUUACCUCUAUGUUGCUUCGGCGGAGCCGCCCCGGCGCCCGGAACCCCCUGCGGUCCCGCGGCCCGGAACCAAGGCGCCCGCCGGAGGCCACAAACUCUUCUGUUUUUACAGUUUCUUCUGAGUGUGCCGCAAGGCAGUAUACAAAUGAAUCAAAACUUUCAACAACGGAUCUCUUGGUUCUG